rnacentral:tRNA from 1 species
CAAAAAUUAGUUAUAUGAACAUAAUAUAGGAUUGUCAAUCCUAAGUAGUCUUUUUAGACAUUUUUGG